rnacentral:rRNA from 1 species
ACGUAGGGGGCGAGCGUUGUCCGAAUUCACUGGGCGUAAAGCGCGCGUAGGCGGGUUAUUAAGUUGGUGGUGAAAUCCCGAGGCUCAACCUCGGAACUGCCGUCAAAACUGAUAGCCUAGAGGUUUGGAGAGGGAACUGGAAUUCCAGGUGUAGCGGUGAAAUGCGUAGAUAUCUGGAGGAACACCCAUGGCGAAGGCAGGUUCCUGGCCAUAUCCUGACGCUGAGGUGCGAAAGCUAGGGUAGCGAACGG